CCUACGGGGGGCAGCAGUGGGGAAUAUUGCGCAAUGGGCGAAAGCCUGACGCAGCGACGCCGCGUGAGGGAUGAAGGUCUUCGGAUCGUAAACCUCUGUUAGCAGGGAAGAACGUUCACUGUCCUAAUCAGCAGUGAAUUGACGGUACCUGCAAAGGAAGCACCGGCUAACUCCGUGCCAGCAGCCGCGGGAAUACGGAGGGUGCGAGCGUUAAUCGGAAUUAUUGGGCGGAAAGCGCUCGUAGGCGGUAUGUUAAGUCAAGGGGGAAAUCCCCGGGCUCAACGUGGGAACUGCCUUUGAAACUGGCAAACGGGAGUGUGUGAGAGGAAAGCGGAAUGCCAGGUGUAGCGGUGAAAUGCGUAGAGAUAUGGAAGAACAUCAGUGGCGAAGGCGGCUAACUGGAACAUAACUGACGCUGAGGAACGAAAGCGUGGGUAGCAAACAGGAUUAGAUACCCUUGUAGUC
rnacentral:rRNA from 1 species